rnacentral:lncRNA from 1 species
ACAGAAGGCUGAUUGGGGCCCGGGAUGCAGUGUUUGUUCUCAGCUUGCACUGAAUGUGGCAGGCCGCACCUGCCUUCCAGAUAGCCUACAAGCGAGUUUAUGCUAAUGCUGAUACUCUUGCUCAAACAACUCGAAGCACGGGUAACAGAUGUUAAAUAGAAGAGGAAUGAGAAGCAAACCAUUUCUCUUUUUUAUGUGCAUUUUUGUGUGUCUGUUUGUUUGUGGAGCAGGGGUUUUAUCCCUGCAAGAAUCACAGUCGCUCUCCUCUGCAAAAAUGAUACCCCAUCUGUCAUCUGGACGUCAACGCCGAAAUCAUGGGCGCUGAUGGAGGGCCUUAUUUCAGCCAUGUGUCUCAAGGAGAGGGGGUCGCAAACUUCCAGGAGCAUUGGAAUCCCGUGGCGACCUUGUCUGACUGCAGAGCACCAGCCUCACCUCCAGAGUUUUUGACUCAGUAGGUCUGGGCUGGAGUCUAGGAAUGAGCAGUCUAACAAUUUACCAGGUAAGGCUGAUGCUGCAGGAACCCCACCUUCAGAAUCACUGCUCUAGGACGGCAAGGAGAAAAGCCUAAGAUCAUCCACUGUGCAGCCUCAGGCCCAGCCUGAUUGGUUUUUCAAGACUCUGCGGUGGAGCCGGCUGUGUUUGGAUCUGAGCAGGUAUGUGAAUGGGUGAGCUGACAGCAGGCAGAAAAGAGCUUCUAAACGCGUGGCUCCCAGCAGCGGAGACUGAGGGCUGAGAUGCCCUUUGGGGUGUUGUUGUUGGGGCCUGAGACGCAGGGCUGUCAGCCUCCAAACCAGCUCCCAGGGCUGUACUAGGCUAGGGGUUGAAUCAGAGCUGUAGCUGCUGGCCUACACCACAGCCACAGCAAUGCAGGAUCCGAGCCGCAUCUGCAACCUACACCACAGCUCACAGCAGAUCCUUAACCACUGAGCGAGGCCAGGGAUGGAACCCGAAACCUCAUGCUUGCUAGUCGGGUUCGUUAACAAUUGAGCCUCAGAGGGAACUCCAAGGGAGUGAAUUCUUUCGUGGCAGCUCCCAUGAGCCUCCUAGAGCUCAGAGCUCCCAGGACAGCACUCGAAGGAGCCCAGCAGGGAGUUUCUGGUCUAACCACAGAAGUCACAGAAUAUCACUUCCACUGCAUCCUGCAGGCCAAGAAAACCACCAAGGGUCUAAUUUUAACAAAAUUCCACCAAAAGGAAGAAUUGGGACAUCCCACAUAACUCAUUUGGACUGGGAUGUGGCACCCGGAACAAGCGCCCCUCCAAACGCCCGAAGACGGCGUGCGCGUUGUCAGGUGCGAUCAGCGACUUCCUGGCAGGUGUGCUCAGGUGUGUUAGGAGGGACACAGCUCUGACGGCGGGCAGAGAAUGAGACCGAUAAGCCUGUGCUCUGGGAUCCAGGCGCUCACAAGCAAGGGGCAAGAGGAGGUUUCCUGUUCUGGAUGAGAGGAGUCGUGUAGGAGGUAUGAGGAAUGAAGCCGUGGAAGUGAUGGGUGGACCUCAAACCCCACACCCCCAAAAAGGUCUGCCUUUAAUUGUUUUAUUAGAGAGUUCACCAAAAUUGGAACCAGGAAGAAAAAGAACAAGCCACAGAAAUUUGUUCUUGGCUCCAGUCAGACAGCUGAGCCCCAAACUGCGAUUCUAAAGUCUGUUUGCUAUUGAACAGGCGAAUCGAGGACCAAAAGGCACUGGCACAUCUAGUGGGCUCACAGGAGCCAUGGCCAAGUUGAGGGUUAGGGACAUGUGCCAGCAGCACGCUCGGGUACACUCUGUCCCUGCCCGAGUCUACUGCAGUAAUUAGCUUUGCUCAUUAGUUUCAAGUAAAUAAUCUCCUUGUCACAGCUGGGAUCCUUUAUCAGAACAGUGGACAUCAGGGUUUGCAAAAGCAAAGGAUUCCCCCCCCCCACACCCCCAGAAUUCCCUGGAACACUAAGUCAUGACCCAGAGAUUUGAAUGAAGGAAGGAAAUGUCCAAAGAGGUCUAAAAUUCCAAGGAAUAGCUCUGUCUAGAGAGUGGAAGCAUUGGGUAUGAAAAACAACAACAAAACCUUUGAAAUGGAUAUUGAUCUGUUCUUCAACUCAGUUUAAGUUCAGAUCAACAAAGACAUGUAACUAUCUGCUAUAUAGCAGGAAAUGCAGCCCAGACCUCAGAGAUCCUGGGAGGAAACGGGUAAUAAAUGCACAAAUAGCAUUAACAUGCUAGUAAUGCACUCUGAUGGCAGAAUGUGCGGAGGGAGGGUGCCCAAGCCUGCCUGGGUCUUCAGGGAGGAUUUCCCGGAGGUGUGACUGGCACUGAUUUAAGACGAGAAGGAGCAGCGAGGAGCACUUCUGCAAGACUUGCAGAGGAGGGAGGCCUGGGCAUGAUUCUGAGCCUUUUAAAACAAUGGGCAAAAUACAUACGCUCAACCUUUUAUCCCUUGGUAUCCCAUCAUUAUGCCCAUUUCGAGGAAGGAGAAAAUGAAGAGAGAUUUCAACGCUGCCCGUGGAUUGCCUGUGGGGUUGGGGUUGAGGGAGGACAAUGCUGGGAUAGUGAGGCAGGACCCUACCAGCCCUGGGGGCACCCAAUAAGGGGCUGACCCUUUAAACUCUGCCCCCAUCCCCCAAGCAUCGCCAGGGGCACCGGCAACACCCUUAGUGCCAAGGGCAUGGUCACUGCCAAAGAGGGGGCCAGAUUGCUCAUAGUCUCAACACCUGCCUGGGGUAGAGCUCAACACCAAACCCCAAUCUCCUUUCCGUGCAGGAGAACCUCGCUAGAAUUCAACCCAGGCUGCCAGAGAGAAGAAAGGAGACAGGGGUAGUUGGGGGGCAAAAGGGAAACAUUUUCUCUUAGACUGACUGGAAAUCACAAGUUGGGGAGAAAAGGCCAAGAGGU